UACGAAGGGGGCGAGCGUUGUUCGGAUUUACUGGGCGUAAAGGGCGCGUAGGCGGCCCUCCUUGUCGCGUGUGAAAGCCCCGGGCUCAACCUGGGAAUUGCGCGCGAAACGGGGGGGCUUGAGUUCGGGAGAGGAGCGUGGAAUUCCCAGUGUAGAGGUGAAAUUCGUAGAUAUUGGGAAGAACACCGGUGGCGAAGGCGGCGCUCUGGACCGAGACUGACGCUGAGGCGCGAAAGCCAGGGGAGCGAACGGG
rnacentral:rRNA from 1 species